AGAGUUGAUCAUGGCUCAGGACGAACGCUGGCGGCGUGCCUAACACAUGCAAGUCGAGCGAGGAGAUCCUUCGGGAUGAUCCUAGCGGCGGACGGGUGAGUAACACGUGGGCAACCUGCCUCAUAGAGAGGAAUAGCCUUCCGAAAGGGAGAUUAAUACCUCAUAACAUUGCAGUUUCGCAUGGAACAGCAAUUAAAGGAGUAAUCCGCUAUGAGAUGGGCCCGCGGCGCAUUAGCUAGUUGGUGAGGUAACGGCUCACCAAGGCGACGAUGCGUAGCCGACCUGAGAGGGUGAUCGGCCACAUUGGGACUGAGACACGGCCCAGACUCCUACGGGAGGCAGCAGUGGGGAAUAUUGCACAAUGGGGGAAACCCUGAUGCAAGCAACGCCGCGUGAGUGAUGACGGCCUUCGGGUUGUAAAGCUCUGUCUUCAGGGACGAUAAUGACGGUACCUGAGGAGGAAGCCACGGCUAACUACGUGCCAGCCGCAGC
rnacentral:rRNA from 1 species